GGAAGGGUGGCCGAGUGGAUUAAGGCGGCGGUCUUGAAAACCGCUAGGGGGCGCAAGCCCCCUCGGGGGUUCGAAUCCCUCCCCUUCCG
rnacentral:tRNA from 1 species